rnacentral:rRNA from 1 species
AGUGAACGCUGGCGGUAGGCCUAACACAUGCAAGUCGAACGGCAGCACAGUAAGAGCUUGCUCUUACGGGUGGCGAGUGGCGGACGGGUGAGGAAUACAUCGGAAUCUACUUUUUCUUGGGGGAUAACGUAGGGAAACUUACGCUAAUACCGCAUACGACCUACGGGUUAAAGCAGGGGAUCUUCGGACCUUGCGCGAUAGAAUGAGCCGAUGUCGGAUUAGCUAGUUGGCGGGGUAAAGGCCCACCAAGGCGACGAUCCGUAGCUGGUCUGAGAGGAUGAUCAGCCACACUGGAACUGAGACACGGUCCAGACUCCUACGGGAGGCAGCAGUGGGGAAUAUUGGACAAUGGGCGAAAGCCUGAUCCAGCCAUACCGCGUGGGUGAAGAAGGCCUUCGGGUUGUAAAGCCCUGUUGUUGGGAAAGAAAAGAAGCAGGUGAAUACCCCGAUGUUCUGACGGUACCCAAAGAAUAAGCACCGGCUAACUUCGUG